rnacentral:pre_miRNA from 1 species
AGGCCUGGGCCUGUGCAAUGCUUUGGAUUCACUGUGGUCUAGUAUUGCACUCCCCCCGGCCUUU